UACGAAGGGGGCUAGCGUUGUUCGGAAUCACUGGGCGUAAAGGGCGCGUAGGCGGCUUUAUAAGUCGGGGGUGAAAGCCUGUGGCUCAACCACAGAAUUGCCUUCGAUACUGUAGAGCUUGAGACCGGAAGAGGUAAGUGGAACUGCGAGUGUAGAGGUGAAAUUCGUAGAUAUUCGCAAGAACACCAGUGGCGAAGGCGGCUUACUGGUCCGGUUCGUGACGCUU
rnacentral:rRNA from 1 species